rnacentral:rRNA from 1 species
CUCUGCGGCAAUACCACCCUGAAUGCUCCCAGUCUCAUCUGAUCUCAGAAGAUAAGCAUGAUCAGGCCUGGUUAGUACUUGAAUGGGAGGUUUUUACCUUCUUAAGAAGGUAUAGUCUAUUGGUUAUAGAUG